rnacentral:rRNA from 1 species
UACGUAGGUGGCAAGCGUUGUCCGGAUUUACUGGGCGUAAAGGGCGUGCAGGCGGUUUGUUAAGUUCAGGGUGAAAGCUCCCGGCUCAACUGGGAGAGGUCCUUGGAUACUGGCAGACUUGAGGAGGGUAGAGGAGAGUGGAAUUCCCGGUGUAGUGGUGAUAUGCGUAGAUAUCGGGAGGAACACCAGUGGCGAAGGCGGCUCUCUGGGCCAGUACCGACGUUCAGGCACGAAAGCGUGGGGAGCAAACAGG